rnacentral:rRNA from 1 species
UACGGAGGGUGCGAGCGUUAUCCGGAAUUACUGGGUUUAAAGGGUGCGUAGGCGGCCAGGUAAGUCAGGAGUGAAAGUUUGCGGCUCAACCGUAAAAUUGCUUUUGAUACUGCCAGGCUAGAAUUAGGAUGAGGUCAGCGGAAUGUGGCAUGUAGCGGUGAAAUGCAUAGAUAUGCCAUAGAACACCAAUUGCGAAGGCAGCUGGCUAGACCUGGAUUGACGCUGAGGCACGAAAGUGUGGGGAUCAAAC